GAUGAACGCUAGCGACAGGCUUAACACAUGCAAGUCGAGGGGCAGCAAUUUGUAGCAAUACAAAGUUGGCGACCGGCGCACGGGUGAGUAACGCGUAUGCAACCUGCCCACAACAGAAGAAUAAUCCGGCGAAAGUCGGUCUAAUACUUCAUAAAACAGGGACACCGCAUGGUGUUAUUUGUUAAAGAUUUAUCGGUUGUGGAUGGGCAUGCGUACCAUUAGGUAGUUGGUGAGGUAACGGCUCACCAAGCCUACGAUGGUUAGGGGUUCUGAGAGGAAAGUCCCCCACACUGGUACUGAGACACGGACCAGACUCCUACGGGAGGCAGCAGUGAGGAAUAUUGGUCAAUGGGCGAGAGCCUGAACCAGCCAAGUCGCGUGAAGGAUGGCGGCCCUAUGGGUUGUAAACUUCUUUUGCAGGGGAAUAAAGAUAUUCACGUGUGAGUAGUUGUAUGUACCCUGCGAAUAAGCAUCGGCUAACUCCGUGCCAGCAGCCGCGGUAAUACGGAGGAUGCGGGCGUUAUCCGGAUUUAUUGGGUUUAAAGGGUGCGUAGGCGGCCUGUUAAGUCAGCGGUGAAAUCUAGGAGCUUAACUCCUAAAUUGCCAUUGAUACUGGCGGGCUUGAGUGUAGAUGAGGUAGGCGGAAUGCGUGGUGUAGCGGUGGAAUGCAUAGAUAUCACGCAGAACUCCGAUUGCGAAGGCAGCUUACUAAGGUACAACUGACGCUGAAGCACGAAAGCGUGGGUAUCAAACAGG
rnacentral:rRNA from 1 species